ACAAGUGCGUUGGAGUUGUUUAUUGAUGUAUCUUGUGAGAAACCGUUAUGCAAACUUACAAGUAUUGAAUUAUGGAGCAAACUGAAGACAUGAGCUGCUUGUUGUUCGCACAACUAUAGAUGUUUAGUAUGAGAUGGUCUUGUCCAAAUCAAUACGGUACAUUAAUGACAGCAUCUAUCUUGGCUUGACAAAGACAUGGCGGCUCAAUUGAAGUACGUUUAAUGCCACGACUGAACGGAAUAUAUUCUUGUACGUAAGCCUCCUGCAUCGCACGCAUCGGAACAGCUGUUCAUCAGUUUAAUGUAAUUCUUGUACCUAAGCCAUCUUGACCUCACGUUUUGGAACAGCUGUUCAUAAGUUUAGACUGGAUCAUGGCACUUGUGCGACUUCAGCUCCAUCUGUCUCUCGUGCACUUCCUCCCUUCGGAUAUAGCUCCACCAACAAAUGUGGAC